CUUAAUUAUCGUUUAUAUAUUUUCAUUAAAAACUUAAUAUUUAAAUAAUUUGCUCUUUUCUUUUUGUUGAUCUAAAUUUUAUUAGAAGUCUUUAAUUUUCUUCUUUAGUGAAAUCUUUUAGAGAGUUUUUUUUAUACAUAAUAAAUUUAGUGCCAGCAUUUGCGGUUAAACUAAAAUUUUAAGAAAAUAUUUAUUAAGGUAAAUAAUUAAAAAAGAGAGGUGUAUGUUUAUUGGGUGAAAUAUUUUUUUUUAAAAAAAAAUUUUUAAUAUUUUAGAGAAAUGAGAUUAUGGACUAGGAUUAGAUACCCUAUUACACUUAAUUACCUAAUCCUUAAAAGAUUAAAGAUAAAAAUUUGAAAAUUUGGCGGCUUUUUGAAUUAGAGGAAUUUGUCUAUUUAAUUGAUAACCCUCAUUAUUUUGGUUUUUAGGUUCAUUUUGUAUACCAUCAUUUUAAUAAUUUUUUAAUAAAUAAUUAUUUUAACCAUCUUAAGAAAGUUAGAUCAAGGUGCAGAUAUACUUAAAAUUAGAUUAGUUACAAUAAUUAUUUACGACAGUGUUAAAUAAAUUUUUAGUAAAGGGUGGAUUUAAAUGUAAUAUAUACAUAUAUGAAAAUUAAAAAUUUAGUGUACAAAUUGCCCGUCACUCUCUUUGGGAUAAGUCGAAACAAAGUAGAAGAACCUGAAGGUUCUUCU
rnacentral:rRNA from 1 species